GGGGAAUAUUGCACAAUGGAGGAAACUCUGAUGCAGCGAUGCCGCGUGAGGGAAGAAGGUUUUCGGAUUGUAAACCUCUAUGUACAGGGACGAUAAUGACGGUACCUGUUCAGAAAGCUCCGGCUAACUACGUGCCAGCAGCCGCGGUAAUACGUAGGGAGCGAGCGUUGUCCGGAAUUACUGGGUGUAAAGGGAGUGUAGGCGGGACGGCAAGUCAGAUGUGAAAUUUAGGGGCUCAACCCCUGACCUGCAUUUGAAACUGCUGUUCUUGAGUGAAGUAGAGGUAAGCGGAAUUCCUAGUGUAGCGGUUAAAUGCGUAGAUAUUAGGAGGAACAUCAGUGGCGAAGGCGGCUUACUGGGCUUUAACUGACGCUGAGGCUCGAAAGCGUGGGGAGCAAACAGGAUUAGAUACCCUGGUAGUCCACGCCGUAAACGAUGAUUACUAGGUGUGGGGGGACUGACCCCUUCCGUGCCGCAGUUAACACAAUAAGUAAUCCACCUGGGGAGUACGGUCGCAAGACUGAAACUCAAAGGAAUUGACGGGGGCCCGCACAAGCAGUGGAGUAUGUGGAUUAAUUCGAAGCAACGCGAAGAACCUUACCAGGUCUUGACAUCGAUCAAAUCCGAAAGAGAUUUUGGAGUGCCCUUCGGGGAACGUGAAGACAGGUGGUGCAUGGUUGUCGUCAGCUCGUGUCGUGAGAUGUUGGGUUAAGUCCCGCAACGAGCGCAACCCUUAUGUUUAGUUGCUACGCAAGAGCACUCUAGACAGACUGCCGUUGACAAAACGGAGGAAGGUGGGGAUGACGUCAAAUCAUCAUGCCCCUUAUGACCUGGGCCUCACACGUACUACAAUGGCUGUAAACAGAGGGAAGCUAAGCAGUGAUGUGGAGCAAAUCCCCAAAAGCAGUCUUAGUUCGGAUUGUAGGCUGCAACCCGCCUACAUGAAGUCGGAAUUGCUAGUAAUCGCGGAUCAGCAUGCCGCGGUGAAUACGUUCCCG
rnacentral:rRNA from 1 species